UACGCACACACACACACAGGAUCAUCACAACUAAAACACAACUUAGGUUUCUUUCUUCCUUCUUCGAUUUGAUUUCCUCUCUCUCUGUCUGAUCUGCGAGGCCGAACCUCUCUUUUCCUCUACGUGAAACCUCUCUUUCAGCCAUCCUUGUUCUUCUUCAGCCGUCGCGCAGCCGAAGCUCUCUCAGUCGUCGCGCCGUCGUCACGCAAGCAGCAGUUCGUGCAGAUCAUCAUCCAUAUUUCUGGAGUAGGUUGCAGCUUCCAGCAGACGCACUCUUUUUUUUUCUCCCCUUGACGCAGCUGCGCACUCCUUCUCGUCACUUUUCCAUUGAAGGCUCUCUCUCUACCAAAGGUGAAUUUCUCACUCUUCUGUAAAUGCUUAAUCUUGAAUAUUGUUAUUUCCAAUCUCUGUUUGCAUUUUUA